rnacentral:rRNA from 1 species
AUUAAUAAGCGGAGGAAAAGAAACUAACAAGGAUUCCCUCAGUAACGGCGAGUGAAGCGGGAAUAGCUCAAAUUUGAAAUCUCCGACGCUUGCGUCGGCGAGUUGUAGUUGCGAGAAGCACUUUCUCGGCGGAUCGGGCGUGCCUAAGUUGCUUGGAACAGUACGUCGCAGAGGGUGACAACCCCGUUUGUGGCACGGCCGACCGCUCACGAUGUGCUUUCGAAGAGUCGGGUUGUUCGGGAAUGCAGCCCAAAACGGGUGGUAAACUCCAUCUAAAGCUAAAUAUUGACGUGAGACCGAUAGCGAACAAGUACCGUGAGGGAAAGAUGAAAAGAACUUUGAAAAGAGAGUUAAAAAGUACGUGAAACCGUUGGAAGGGAAACGAAUGGACUCAGCAAUGCGCCGUUUGAGAUUCAGCCGGCCGGCGGGAUCGGCUCGGGGUGUGCGGAUCCGAAUGGACCGCCGUCUCGGGCUCGUUUCUCCCGGCCGUCGCACUUCUCUUGGGCGCACGUCAACGUCGGUUGGGACUGGGUCUGAAAGGUUCCGGGAAGGUAGGUCCGCGCGUUCCUCGCGUUCGCGCGCUCUGUUACAGCCCGGUUCUCUUGCGGCUCGGGCCCGACCGAGGCGGUCGCAGCGCAUGCCUCUUUUGGCUAGGGUCCCGUUCGUCCGGCCGGUUGUCGACCGCGGUGGACUGCUUGCAGUGCUCCGCGACUGCUGCCGGUCGUUCGGGCGGUGAUCUCGUACCAUGCGCUAAGGAUGUUGGCGG